CCUCUCGAUUGAGAUUAUGUUGUUUACUAAACACAAUUCUAGAAGAAUACAAAACAAAAUCAUAAAGCAAGUUCAAGCAAUCAUUUUUCUUUCUACUGUUUUCCAUUUCUCUUCUCUGCUAAAACCCCACUUCCUUUGUCGUAGAAUAUGUCUGCCAUUAAUGGUUAUUGCUGCCAAAGAAACAUAUCGCAACCUUCGACGGGAUAAUCCAUAGUAAAAUUUAGAAUUUGAACAAAAUCUUUAUUUAAGUGACAACCAAUUUUUGAGAUAUGAUUGACUGACAAACGCAGAAGCACAGAUUAAAAUUGAAUAUUGUAACCUAAUUCGGUGAAUUAUUAUUUUUUGAUAUUUUUAUUCUUCAAUCCUUAAAACCGAUUCCGGUAGACUGCUAUGUUAAGAGAGAUCAUAGAUUUAUAAUGAUGAUCGAGGAAUCAUUGAUAAAAUUUGUAAUCCCAAAAAAAAAUACUGAAAAAUUCUCCAACAAAAAUUCUCCAGGGUUUGUUCUUUCUUUACGUGACGUGUGAAGGUUAGGCAACUUCUCUCCACCACGUCAACUGCCACAUGAAUGACCACCUCAGAAUAGCUGUUACUCGGCGGUUAAAGAGCUGGUCAUAUAGCAUUUUCGUUAAUUCCUCUACCUGUUUAUUCAAAUCGAACACAUAAAAAUCAGAGAAAACCCCCAACCCCUUUAUUCUUUCUUCUUCACCUCAAAUCGAACACAGAAAAUCCCAGAUUCCCAGCCCCUUUCUUCACAGUUCUAAGUUCAAACCGUAGACCGUUACUCUUAUCAAUCUCAUGUUCAUCUUUCAGGGUCUCGUUUAAAACCCUUUACUCCGUUGGUUCGUUGACACUCUAAUAGUCCAAUUCCGGCCCUCCUUCACCAAAAUCUGAUGGAGAAUACAUUGUUCCAAUCUUAGGUUUUGUGAGUGAGCGCAAGACGAAUGGAUCUCUGCUUAUUGCAACGUGGAGGGCUAAACCAACAAAGAAUGAGGGCUUUUCGACUACAUUCAAGGGAAGAACGAAUACAGGAAGAAAAUUGAAAUGACUGCUCCAGUUAUCACCCAAAUCUCCCCAAGCGACUGGCCAUUCUCUGCAUCAUCAUUCGUUGUUAGCUUUUAUGUCCCUAAAGAGAACCUAGCUAAUGUACCUCCAGCAAAAGACUCA